CUCCUCAGCUUCCUCUUCCACCCACUCCAACCGGAAGCUCUGCUGUGAAGAGCAUUCUGGGAAACACGGCUUACCCAAGAGGGCAAGAACAAACCUCCCUGGGCUGAUGGAAUGCUGUAGACACGGUUAUCAUCAUCUGUCAGAUCUGAAGCUAAACAACAAAAAACAUGUCAGAGCAAAACUGGGCUGCAGCAGAAGAAACGAUAAGGCAGAAAGCAGGCUGUAGGAAGAUUGGUAAUGACAACAAAAAAGAUCGAGACUCAGUUUGCCAAGCUUGCACUCCACUCCCCUGUCCUUUCGCAACCACUGUACUUUUAUCCAUCCUUGACACGUUAACAAAGGACUUCGCUCAUGAAACAAAAGAGACAAAAGAAGACCCCUGAGAAAUUUAGAAGUUCAAUGGAAAAAGCAAAACACACGGAGCACUUAACUUCCCUCCCAAAGGACAGGAGAGAGCCUGCCAAUUCACCAGCAAGUGCAGGGCUAAGCAUUUUCCCAGUGGUAACAUUAAAUCCCGUUGUUGUUUUUCUCUUUUAAAGUAUGUUUACAAUUGACGGUUAUGGGAAAGAUGACGGAUGUAGCCUGGCCCCAUUUACAGUAAUAAGACUAAUACGGACAGCUUCUUCCCCCCAGACUCUUGUGGAGAGCCCGUGCACAGAAGGGAAGGGUUGAAGAGCACAGAACUUUCACCAUCACGUGCAGCUAGCUGCUGAUGUAUGCCCCAGUGCACUGCUGGAAACACUGGGAUUCCUGUAAACAAUCUGGCUUUGACAAGGGUGCAUUUCCCAAGAUGUAUACCACAUACUUGCUGAGG